AACGAACGCUGGCGGCAGGCCUAACACAUGCAAGUCGAACGCUGCAGCAAUGCAGAGUGGCAGACGGGUGAGUAACACGUGGGAAUCUUCCUAUCGGUACGGAAUAGCUCAGGGAAACUUGAGGUAAUACCGCAUACGCCCUUCGGGGAAAGAUUUAUCGCUGAUAGAUGAGCCCGCGUCUGAUUAGCUAGUUGGUGGGGUAAUGGCCUACCAAAGCGACGAUCAGUAGCUGGUCUGAGAGGAUGACCAGCCACACUGGGACUGGGACACGGCCCAAACUCUUACGGGAGGCAGCAGUGGGGAAUAUUGGACAAUGGGCGCAAGCCUGAUCCAGCCAUGCCGCGUGAGUGACGAAGGUUUUCGGAUUGUAAAGCUCUUUUGCCAGGGACGAUAAUGACGGUACCUGGAGAAUAAGCCCCGGCUAACUUCGUGCCAGCCGCCGCGGUAACAC
rnacentral:rRNA from 1 species